GCGGGUGUAGCUCAGUGGUAGAGCGCCACGUUGCCAACGUGAAGGUCGUGAGUUCAAGCCUCAUCACCCGCU
rfam:Chlamydia psittaci 84-8471/1 genomic scaffold CP_84_8471_1.contig.627, whole genome shotgun sequence.